rnacentral:rRNA from 1 species
AUUGAACGCUGGCGGCAGGCCUAACACAUGCAAGUCGAACGAGUGGCGGACGGGUGAGUUAUGUCUGGGCAACUGCCUGAUGGAGGGGGAUAACGACUGGAAACGGUAGCUGAUAACGCAUACCAUCAGUUGUGCCCAGAUGGGAGUAGCUUGGUGUUGGGGGAACGGCUGACAAAGGCGACGAUCCCUAGCGGGUCUGAGAGGAGGCCCAGCACCAUUGGAACUGAGACACGGUCCAGAUUCCUCGGGGGGGCAGCAGUGGGGAAUAUGGGACAUUGGGCGCAAGCCGAGUGCAGCCAUGCCGGGUGUAUGAAGAAGGCCUUCGGGUUGUAAAGUACUUUCAGCGGGGAGGCGGUACCCGCAGAAGAAGCACCGGCUAACUCCGUGCCAGCAGCCGCGGUAAUAC